UACAGAGGUCUCAAGCGUUGUUCGGAUUCAUUGGCGUAAAGGGCGCGUAGGCGGCGGGGUAAGUCGGGUGUGAAAUCUCAGAGCUCAACUCUGAAACUGCACUCCGAUACUGCUCUGCUUGAGGACUGGAGAGGAGACUGGAAUUUACGGUGUAGCGGUGAAAUGCGUAGAUAUCGUAAGGAAGACCAGUGGCGAAGGCGGGUCUCUGGACAGUUCCGUG
rnacentral:rRNA from 1 species